GGGGAUGUAGCUUAGUGGUAGAAUGUGUAGUUAACAUGUAUGAAGCCCUAGGUUCAAUCCCUAGCACCCCA
rnacentral:tRNA from 1 species